UACGUAGGGUGCAAGCGUUAAUCGGAAUUACUGGGCGUAAAGCGCACGUAGGCGGCUUUCUAAGUCAGGGGUGAAAUCCUGGAGCUCAACUCCAGAACUGCCUUUGAUACUGGAAAGCUCGAGUCCGGGAGAGGUGAGUGGAACUCCGAGUGUAGAGGUGAAAUUCGUAGAUAUUGGGAAGAACACCGGUGGCGAAGGCGGCGACCUGGUCCUUGACUGACGCUGAGGCGCGAAAGCGUGGGGAGCAAACAGG
rnacentral:rRNA from 1 species